AGGGAAAUAGCUCAGUGGUAGAGCACAUGCUUAGCAUGCAUGAUGUGCUGGGUUCAAUCCCCAGUUCCUCCA
rfam:Camelus ferus unplaced genomic scaffold scaffold2807, whole genome shotgun sequence.